AAUGAACGUUGGCGGCGUGGAUUAGGCAUGCAAGUCGAGCGCGAACCCCGCAAGGGGGGAGAGCGGCAAACGGGGUAGUAACGGGUAGGUGACGUACCCUCGGGUUGGGGAUAGCCACGGGAAACUGUGGGUAAUACCCAAUAAUCUCUUCACACGUGAUUGUGUGGAGAGCAAAGGUGUGAUUCCACCGGAGGAGCGGCCUGCCUCGUAUUAGCUGGUUGGUGAGGUAACGGCUCACCAAGGCAUCGAUGCGUAGGGGGUGUGAGAGCAUGACCCCCACCACUGGGACUGAGAUACUGCCCAGACACCUACGGGUGGCUGCAGUCGAGAAUCUUCGGCAAUGGGCGCAAGCCUGACCGAGCGACGCCGCGUGUGGGAUGAAGGCCCUUGGGUUGUAAACCACUGUCAGAGGGGAUGAAGUGCGGGAGAGCUAUCUCUCCCGUUUGACAUAGCCUCAGAGGAAGCACGGGCUAAGUUCGUGCCAGCAGCCGCGGUAACAC
rnacentral:rRNA from 1 species